CCUACGGGAUGCAGCAGUGGGGAAUAUUGCACAAUGGGCGCAAGCCUGAUGCAGCCGUGCCGCGUGUAUGAGGAAGGCCUUCGGGUUGUAAAGUACUUUCAGCGGGGAGGAAGGUGUUGAGGUUAAUAACCUCAGCAAUUGACGUUACCCGCAGAAGAAGCACCGGCUAACUCCGUGCCAGCAGCCGCGGUAAUACGGAGGGUGCAGGCGUUAAUCGGAGUUACUGGGCGUAAAGCGCACGCAGGCGGUCUGUCAAGUCGGAUGUGAAAUCCCCGGGCUCAACCUGGGAACUGCAUUCGAAACUGGCAGGCUAGAGUCUUGUAGAGGGGGGUAGAAUUCCAGGUGUAGCGGUGAAAUGCGUAGAGAUCUGGAGGAAUACCGGUGGCGAAGGCGGCCCCCUGGACAAAGACUGACGCUCAGGUGCGAAAGCGUGGGGAGCAAACAGGAUUAGAUACCCCAGUAGUC
rnacentral:rRNA from 1 species